GUCCACGCCCUAAACGAUGUCAACUAGGUGUUGGGAGGGUAAACCUUUUAGUACCGGAGCUAACGCGUGAAGUUGACCGCCUGGGGAGUACGGCCGCAAGGUUAAACUCAAAGGAAUUGACGGGGACCCGCACAAGCGGUGGAUGAUGUGGAUUAAUUCGAUGCAACACGAAAACCUUAACCUACCCUUGACAUGUCCGGAAGCCCUUAGAGAUUUGGGUGUGCUCUAAAGAGAGCCGGAACACAGGUGCUGCAUGGCUGUCGU
rnacentral:rRNA from 1 species